UCAUGUUGCAGAUGAAUCCUAGAGAGGCCUUCAAAGAUGUAUCAGAUGAAGUUCAAAUUGCAAGCACUUGGUUCUUCAGCAAGUUGGCAUUGGCCAAGUCCAUUAGCAUAGGAAGGUUGCCUUGAUUCUAAGUCCAUUUGUCCAAGAUCAAGCCAACAGUCCAUUCAAGAGUUUUUUUAGGGUUUUUGUUAUUAUUAUGUACAUUAAUGGU
rnacentral:lncRNA from 1 species